AUUGAACGCUGGCGGCAGGCCUAACACAUGCAAGUCGAACGAGCGGCGGACGGGUGAUUAAUGUAUGGGGACUGCCCGAUAGAGGGGGAUAACUACUGGAAACGGUGGCUAAUACCGAAUAGUAUCGGAUAACCCAUAUGGGAUGAGCUAGUAGGUGGGGUAAAGGCUCACCUAGGCGACGAUCCCUAGCUGGUCUGAGAGGAUGAUCAGUCACUCGGGGACUGGGACACGGCCCAGAAUCCGACGGAGGCAGCAGUGGGGAAUAGUGCGCAAUGGGCGCAAGCCUGAUGCGGCCAUGCCGCGUGUAUGAAGAUGGCCUUCGGGUUGUAAAGUACGUUCAGCGGGGAGGCGGUACCCGCAGAAGAAGCACCGGCUAACUCCGUGCCAGCAGCCGCGGUAAUAC
rnacentral:rRNA from 1 species